AUUGAACGCUGGCGGCAUGCCUUACACAUGCAAGUUGAACGGCAGCACGGGAGCAAUCCUGGUGGCGAGUGGCGAACGGGUGAGUAAUAUAUCGGAACGUGCCCGGUCGUGGGGGAUAACGUAGCGAAAGCUACGCUAAUACCGCAUACGAUCUACGGAUGAAAGCGGGGGAUCGCAAGACCUCGCGCGAUUGGAGCGGCCGAUAUCAGAUUAGGUAGUUGGUGAGGUAAAGGCUCACCAAGCCGACGAUCUGUAGCUGGUCUGAGAGGACGACCAGCCACACUGGGACUGAGGCACGGCCCAGACUCCUACGGGAGGCAGCAGUGGGGAAUUUUGGACAAUGGGCGCAAGCCUGAUCCAGCAAUGCCGCGUGCAGGAUGAAGGCCUUCGGGUUGUAAACUGCUUUUGUACGGAACGAAACGGUGAGCUCUAAUACAGUUUGCUAAUGACGGUACCGUAAGAAUAAGCACCGGCUAACUACGUG
rnacentral:rRNA from 1 species